rnacentral:rRNA from 1 species
UUGAGUUUGAUCCUGGCUCAGAGUGAACGCUGGCGGCAGGCCUAACACAUGCAAGUCGAGCGGCAGCGCGGGGGCAACCCUGGCGGCGAGCGGCGGAUGGGUGAGGAAUACAUCGGAAUCUACCCAGUCGUGGGGGAUAACGUAGGGAAACUUACGCUAAUACCGCAUACGACCUGAGGGUGAAAGCAGGGGACCGCAAGGCCUUGCGCGAUUGGAUGAGCCGAUGUCCGAUUAGCUAGUUGGCGGGGUAAAAGCCCACCAAGGCGACGAUCGGUAGCUGGUCUGAGAGGAUGAUCAGCCACACUGGAACUGAGACACGGUCCAGACUCCUACGGGAGGCAGCAGUGGGGAAUAUCGGACAAUGGGCGCAAGCCUGAUCCAGCCAGGCCGCGUGUGUGAAGAAGGCCUUCGGGUUGUAAAGCACUUUUGUCCGGAAAGAAAUCCUGUCGGUUAAUACCUGGCGGGGAUGACGGUACCGGAAGAAUAAGCACCGGCUAACUUCGUGCCAGCAGCCGCGGUAAUACGUAGGGUGCGAGCGUUAAUCGGAAUUACUGGGCGUAAAGCGUGCGCAGGCGGUUUUGUAAGCCAGACGUGAAAUCCCCGGGCUCAACCUGGGAAUGGCGUUUGGGACUGCAAGGCUGGAGUGUGGCAGAGGGGACUAGAAUUCCUGGUGUAGCAGUGAAAUGCGUAGAUAUCAGGAGGAAUACCGA